GAUGAAGAACGCAGCGAAUUGCGAUAAGUAAUGUGAAUUGCAGAUUUUCAGUGAAUCAUCGAAUCUUUGAACGCACAUUGCGCCCGCCAGUAUUCUGGCGGGCAUGCCUGUUCGAGCGUCAUUUCAACCCUCAAGCCCCCGGGCUUGGUGUUGGGGAUCGGCGUGCCCUCGCGGCGCGCCGUCCCCUAAAUCUAGUGGCGGUCUCGCUGUAGCUUCCUCUGCGUAGUAGCAACACUCGCACUGGAUCGCAGCGCGGCCACGCCGUUAAACCCCCCACUUCUGAAAGUUUGACCUCGGAUCAGGUAGGAAUACCCGCUGAACUUAAGCAUAUCAAUAAGCGGAGGA
rnacentral:misc_RNA from 1 species